CCCCAGGGAGCCUACUUUUCCUUUUGCUGUCCUGCCUUCUGUCUGCCCAGAAGACAAACAGUUUUGAUCACAGGAAGCAGCAUUCAUGGCUGCAUGAGGCAUGCAGCCUAGGAGAAAAUAAACUGCAGCAGCAUCUCCACUGACUGCUCCAUCCAUUCACCCUGGAGUCAAGGGUCUCGUAUGUCUCCCAAAUCACGGAUGCCCAGCCGGUACUAUGGAAGGGUGCAAAAGACCGCAACCAUCGUUUUAGAUCUUGGAAAACUGUGCAGGAAGAAGGCGAAAGAGGUCAGAGGCGAAGUCUGGAACCAGAGUUUUCUCCAGCUGAGCACCUGAGCUUCUCAACUUGAUGAAGCAUGUGAUCCUCACCUGCCCUGAACCUAAUCCACAAUCUCCUCCCAGACCUAACGAGUCCUAUGACCUUCACCUGGUCCACUAGUGGCUGAGCUGUGUUCCCUUGCCUGCCUCAGUCUUUUGAAGUGCAGUUCCUGAUGUUCCUGAGCCCACCGUGUCUGCGGAGAUGGAGGGUAUUUCUGAUUCUGGUAAUGUGUCUUCUCCCCCUGCCUCCCCUGAACUGUCCAUGCUGCUCCCUCGGUGUCUUCUGCUGUCCCGUGAGUACCUUGUAAGUCCCCAACCUGCCCCUCCCCAUCUUCAGCUUGUCCCAGUGUGUAUACCUUACCAGGAUCCUCCUCUCUGUCCUUGGUGUCCUGUCAGCUCAUAACGCAAGCCAUGUUUGAGCCCAAUGGAGCAACAGGGCUUAUGACACUAGCUUUAUUUGCACAAUGCUUACUUAUGGCACUCAUGGUUUGAAGCAGGACUGUACAUCUCGCCACCCCCUGCCAACUUUGUGUCCCUGCCCUAGCCUCGUCCCUGAACUCCACACAUCAAGAAAUUGGAACAGAAAUAGUACAUAUUCUUACAUUAUUAUUGUGAAAUUUCCCACCCAAUUAAUUGAAAAUAGCAUUGUGGGUAUUUUUCUUCUUCUAAAAUUCAAUGGAAUUCAAACAAAAAUUGAUUCUGUGAAACUGUGUUAGGUAACUGCAAAUAGUAUGUGUUUUUGUUUCUUUUAUAAGCUGAAUAGACAUCACAAAUGAUAAAGCGAGGGAAAGCAUAUUUAUACUUGUUACAGUGGUUUAGCUGUCAUUCAGCCUUCUUAUGGUCUGAGACUAUAAAACCAGAUCACUAGAGAAUAUAUGGGCUCUUAAAAUAGGAUUUGAUGGGCAUGUUUUUCAUCUUUCUCUGAUUUGAUUGUGACAGUGAAGAUUCAAGAAUAGGCUUGUGGUAUGUCAUUUGUAUGUUGCUAUGAUCGUCCAUAUUCACACAAAAGAGAUAUAAACAGCAUAUGCAUAUACAGUAAUGUUUGAUAAUUAAACCAAACCAAGAACUUAAUUUCAGUCUUCCUAUUCAUUUUGUUCCAUUUUAAAUAUAUUUCCAAAAAGGAUUUCAAACAUGUAUUCUUAUUAUGAAAAAAUAUAUAUUAAGACAUCUAACCCAGAUCUCAACCACAGCUCCAGUUAACAAAUUUGUUUUGUAACAUUAACCCAACUGAAUAAAUUAAUUUUAUUCAAUAGGCUAUGAAAUAAAUAAAAAUACAGUACAUACACCAUGUACAAUUAUUACCCAUCUGUCACCAAAAGCUUCAAAAGCUGGUGUCGAAUGACUCCUGUAA